rnacentral:lncRNA from 1 species
AAACUUGAUCAAAGAAUUAGGUAUUGAAGCCUCUCUAGGUAGUGAAUGCGUGAAUGUUGAAUUAUUGGGGCCGAUAUUUCCCAGGCUGUUCUCAUGAUAGUGAAUAGGUCUUACAAGAUUUGAUGGCUUUAAAAACAGGAGUUUCCCUGCACAUGCUCUCUUUGCCUACCUGCCACGUAAGAUGUUGACCUGCUCCUCCUUGCCUUCCACCAUGAAUGUGAGGCCUCCUCAGACACGUGGAACUGUGAGUCCAUAAGCCUCUUUCUUUUAUAAAUUGCCCAGUUUCGGGUAUGUCUUUAUCAGCAGUGUGAAAAUGGACUAAUACAGCAACAUAAUACAGAGAAAUACUUAAAAACAAAACAU